CACCCGGUGCCGAAGCCGGACUUUGGGCCUGUAACGCCCUGAGGACCGAAACAUUGGGACCGACCAGGAUUAGAUACCCUGGUAGGUCCCAAGCCGUAAACGUUGGGCACUAGGUUGGGGGGACAUUCCACGUUCUCCGCCCGUAGCUUACGCAUUAAGUGCCCCGCCUGGGGAGUACGUCGCAAGGCUAAAACUCAAAGGAAUUGACGGGGGCCCGCACAACGCGGAGCAUGCGGAUUAAUUCGAUGCAACGCGAAGAACCUUACCAAGGCUUGACAUACACUAGACCGGCCUGGAAACAGGUCCUCCUCUUUUGAGGUUGGUGUACAGGUGUGCAUGGUUGUCGUCAGCUCGUGUCGUGAGAUGUUGGGUUAAGUCCCGCAACGAGCGCAACCCUCGUUCUAUGUUGCCAGCACGUAAUGGUGGGAACUCAUAGGAGACUGCCGGGGUCAACUCGGAGGAAGGUGGGGAUGACGUCAAAUCAUCAUGCCCUUUAUGUCUUGGGCUUCACGCAUGCUACAAUGGCUGGUACAGAGAGAUGCGAGACCGCGAGGUUUUAGCGAAUCCCUUAAAGCCAGUCUCAGUUCGGAUCGUAGUCUGCAAUUCGACUACGUGAAGUCGGAGUCGCUAGUAAUCGCAGAUCAGCAACGCUGCGGUGAAUACGUUCCCGGGCCUUGUACACACCGCCCGUCAAGUCACGAAAGUCGGUAACACCCGAAGCCGGUGGCCCAACCCCCUUGUGGGGAGGGGGCCGUCUAAGGUGGGACUGGCAAUUGGGACUAAGUCGUAACAAGGUAGCCGUACCGGAAGGUGCGGCUGGAUCACCU
rnacentral:rRNA from 1 species